CUGUCAGAUGGCUUGGGUUUCUGCGACGCGAUUGGCUCGCGGAGGGCAGAAAUUACUCAGCAAACAUGACUAUUAUUAGCUGCUUAGCAACAGCUCACCAAAGUAGAGAGACCACCCAGGUAGGCAACCCCAGUGUGUGCAUCCCCGGCUUCGGGGGGAGCCUCCGAGAGCGCCAACCUUCUCGCAUGCAAUACUUCCAUUAAGGAAUGCUCCCCCCUCCCUUUUCUUUCUUAUUCUUUUUCUUUUCAACAGUGUCUUCUUUUUGUAAGACGCCUUUUGCGCGCGCACACACACUCACACACACACAUACACCCACGAGCAUUUGCCUCGCGAUAGACACGGGGGGAAAUGUAAUAUUUUUUUAAGCGCUUAAACAAUUUCUGAAAUUCCUCAAAGAAAACCCUUUCAGAGGCACCUUGGCCUCAAGCUGCAGCAAAUACUGGGAGGUCCGGCUUGAAUUCCCAGGCCUGCACCAAUAAUGACAGGGUGGUGGAUAGGGCGGCAGUGUGUGCCAGAUUUUUUUUUUUUUUCUCCUCUCUUUUCUUUUCUAACUAAAGAGAAGACUUAGGCUCUCGCAGGGAACAACGCCUCGCAUUAAGAUAAACAAAAUGGAAAGUUAAAGAGGAGAGUAAGGACGUUGGGAAAAGCCACCCUUUCUUAAAAUCCUCCCCCCACCCCACCCCAAAACCCAAAGCAGCACAGUCCCCGUUUGAAGGAGUCAGUUUUUUAAAAAUGUGGAAUCCAGACACCAAAGCAAUCUUGUGGAGGCAGAGGCGUUUUUAUUUGAAUCUUUAAUGUGACAUAUGUAAAAGAGAAACAACAGAAUCCUUUUAACAACCAGGAGCAACGGAAUUUUUCCAUUGAGAAAGAGAAAAAAGUUUCCCUGACUAUUCGGGGUUCGUUUGGACUCCCCCUUUUCUUACCCGUAUGUCCUUGUUUAAAUUAUUUAAAGUCCGUUUUAAACGCUCCCCCCCAAACUGGUACGCAUCCUGUUAUAUUUAAUAAUAGCGUGACGUUGGGGAGAAUAAAGGCUUUGAUGUUGGAUUCAUUCGAAACAAAUUGUGCGCUGAUUGCGAGGACUUGUCAGUACACUGCGGCCAGUGUCACCGAGACAUCCCGGGGAUUCGCUUCCCGUUGGGGAAGAAAACACGCGACCCUCUGAAGUGGAUCCUGCGGCCAGAGACAAAUUAAACUACCUACAUAGUUACGCUUUUUAUUUAAAAAUGUAAUUUUUGAAGAGCGUAAUUUGUUUUUCUUGUUUGCAAAUUAUGAAAUCCUCCCUGAGAUAGGGACCAGACCCACAAACUCUCGAUUCUGCUUCAUUUUACUAUUUUUCCCUUUCUUUUUUCAAAACGUGGUUGAACUGCAGAGGGAGACCCGCGAAGCUAGAAGCCGACUGCAGCCGUGAAAUGGGGCAGUGUGGCUUUAAGAUGCACACGGUGUGUGUUCAUUGAAAAAAAAGAAGAAAGAAAGGAAAGGAAAGAAAGAAACCCAGAUGGAGGGAAAGGGGGAGGAGCGGGGGGGAGAAGGCGGAGCCCACGCGACCACGUGACCCAGGGCCGGGCCGGGGCUGCGCGCGCUGGGCGGCCGGCCGGCCUGAGCGCGCGCGCGUGCGUCCGCCGGCGCGCGCACCCGAGCUCCGGGACUCCCCGCGCGGCUCAGGCGGAGCAGGAAACACAACCACUGCAUUUGUGCUGAAGGAGAUGUAAAACAAAAUCGGAGCAGUGUGUCUUCACAAGCGGGUCUUGAAGCUAGCCUGGCGGCAGGAGCCAGGCUCAGAUGAUCGUGUGAAGGGAGUGCUUGAAAAACAUUCGGCAGGUAAGGAGCUUGGGACCACCACUCUGUCCUCACAGCAGGCCUGAAUUCUCUGCCAGCAACAGCCAUGUGCUCCCGAGACCUCCAGUACAUCUCCUCUUUGCUGUCAUUGGCGCUCAUUCCCUGGAGCGAGGACUCCUGGACUGCUGUACCCCCAGUGUUUGCAUCCAAGAGCUGGCUAGCCCCAUGGCAGUUGCCCAGGCUAACGACGCGGGGUGAGCGUGUGAAUAAAAUAAUAAACGAGUGUAUAAACAUGCAUAAUUUAUUUGAAUCAAUAUUCAUGCCUGAUUACACCGUGGGCCGUUUCAGAUGUUUGAAAGCCAGGCCUGGCCGGCCCGGCAGACACCCCCUGCAGUAAUUCCCUCAGGAAGUGAGCUCACCUCCCCUCCUGGAAGAGCGUUUAUAAAAUGCUUGUGUUCCUCCUGGUGCCAACUCUGCAGGGUUGGGGUCAACUACGAGUUUCAAUUACUCCUUCAAACUACUGAGUGAGUCCUUGGGAACAAGCUUGCCUUCUUGGGCCUUUAAAUUGGCUUCCUAUCUUGCAGAUAAAGUGUGGUGCCGGGGCCUUCCCACCAGGGAAAGGGGAAGAACAGCAGACUGAGUGGGCUUGGCCUCUUGUCGUGCUCUCUCUGGGCCAGGCGAAGAGGGGUCGGUGCUCUGGUUUAGGGGGAUGCUCAGUGGAUUCACACAUCUGCUUGUCUUGGCUUUAGUCAUCUGAAGGUGUCAGGCUCCAUUAACAGAGAUUUCCAUGUUGAACAGCAUCAUGGGCCAGUGGUCAAGCGUCAAGUCAGGACAGAUCAAAUCAGACAGACCUGGUGUGAAUCCUGCCUCUACGUCUUACCAGCUGUGUGGUCGGGGGCUACUUACUUCACCUCUCUGUGCCUUUGACUUCCUGCCUGUAAGGUGAGGAUGAUGGGAGGGCCUUCCCCAGCAUAUUGAAAGAGUUGAGAAGAAGGCUGGACUUGUAAAAGGACGAGUGGGGAAACUACCAGAAUCAGUGAAAUCCUGGCUCUGUGAGGCUCUGUGCGCGGACACACUAUGUGAAGUGCCCUGAGAGGAGGAGGCGAGCCCCUCGCAUUUAUCUGCACCUGGUUCAGAAGUUUAACACCAGCUAGUGUGUUCUUUACGCCCUGGUCAUUUCCUGGCCAAAUAUUUUUUACAUUCCUUCUAUGGCACAUCAGGGGUAGUAGACAAGCUCUCGUUUUUCAUCAGGUCCUGGAUUGGCCCCGGGCGAGGCACCCAGACACCCGUAGGCUUACAUUCUAUCCCCUUCCUGGGUCAUCCCAGCAACCCAUGUCUUCCCCCUCUUGCAAUAAUACAGCAAAAACACCUCUGGUAGGCCUAGAGGUCUUAGAGACCAUAAAAAGAGACCAUAAAAAAUGGGACCAUUCUGUGUGUGUGCGUGUGUGCGUGCGUGCGUGUGUGUGUGUGUGUUGGGUGAGUUUUUGAGCUGCAACUUGAGGAAGAUUAAAGGGGCUGUUUCUUUGUUCUCUUACUUCCCCCUUCUCUUUCUUUUCAGUGUGGGUGGCGAGGUAAGACUCUCAGGAGGCCUGACUGGGGCUCUGAGGAGCAGAGCUGAGAGCGGACAACGUAGGCAGGCUCUUCCCUCACUUUGUCCCUGCCCGGAACCGGUUCUGAGGGGGGGACCUCCAUCAAGAUGCUGGAGGGAGCGCCCCGCCUCAGAGAGGUUCCAUAACCUGGAGACAUGGCCACCGGCGCAGAUCCUGUCAGAUCAGAGGUGCGGUGGCAGUUACAUGGAGAAGGAAAGCAGCAAAGUGGUAGUGGAGGGUGGCAGAAGCAGACACAGGCCUGGAGGGAGGACAAGAACGAGAAGCCAGGAGGCAGAGAAGUCAUGAGGUGCAGAUAUGGGGCGGGGGAAAUAGAGAGUAGAAAGUAGAAGCAGGGACUCUGGAGCCAAGUAUGGGGACAAGUGGCUUUGAGAGUCCCUCUGGACCAUUAGAUCCACUGUGAAUGGGGACGGGCAGGAACAGGAUUUCAUUUCUCACUGAGGUUUGAUUAGAUGGAUGUGUUUUUGUAAACUCCCCCUGUUUAAAUCACAGCUUCUCCAGCUGCCAUCUGUGCAUCUCUGGAGGUCCACAGACCCAGUCUCUGCGGUCUGCAAGCUUUCUGAGAAUAAGCUUGGCUUAGAGGCAAAUUGAAAUAAUUAAUAUAUUCACAUUCAGGAUCAUUUCGACUUACACGAAUACUGUAGCCACUGGCUGCGUGUGCCUAUUGAGCACUUGAAAUACAGCUAAUAGAAACUGAGCUGUGCUCUAAAUGUAAAACAGAUUUCGGAGUCUUAGUAAGAAAAAAAUAUAUA